UACGAAGGGGGCGAGCGUUGUUCGGAUUUACUGGGCGUAAAGGGCGAGCAGGCGGCUCAUUUUGUCAGGCGUGAAAGCCCCGGGCUUAACCUGGGAACUGCGUUUGAUACGGAUGGGCUAGAGUUCGGGAGAGGAGAGUGGAAUUCCCAGUGUAGAGGUGAAAUUCGUAGAUAUUGGGAAGAACACCGGUGGCGAAGGCGGCUCUCUGGACCGAGACUGACGCUGAGGCGCGAAAGCGUGGGGAGCAAACAGG
rnacentral:rRNA from 1 species